AUUGAACGCUGGCGGCAGGCCUAACACAUGCAAGUCGAGCGAGCGGCGGACGGGUGAGGAAUGUCUGGGAAACUGCCAGAGGGGGGGGGAUAACUAAAGGAAAAGGUAGCUAAUACCGCGUACCAUCAGAUGGGCCCAGAUGGGAUUAGCUAGUGGGUGGGGUAACGGCUCACCCAGGCGACGAUCCCUAGCUGGUCUGAGAGGAUGACCAGCCACACUGGAACUGAGACACGGUCCAGACUCCUACGGGAGGCAGCAGUGGGGAAUAUUGCACAAUGGGCGCAAGCCUGAUGCAGCCAUGCCGCGUGUGUGAAGAAGGCCUUCGGGUUGUAAAGCACUUUCAGCGGGGAGGCGUUACCCGCAGAAGAAGCACCGGCUAACUCCGUGCCAGCAGCCGCGGUAAUAC
rnacentral:rRNA from 1 species